rnacentral:lncRNA from 1 species
AUGGGGAUGGGGAAGCAGAGUUGGAAGAGGGUAGGAGUAUGUGGGGCACCUGAAGGGAGAAAUCUGUAGGCCCCUGGCCUGCCCUCUGGUCUUGAUCUGGGAGAGGGCUCCAUGCCCUCAGACCUGAACAUAAAAAAGAGCCACCCCCAGAUUCCUCUCCCCCAUCUUUCCUGGAGAGCCUGGGGAUGUGUGAGGCCAGGAAUUCUAAACUCUGGCCCCCUUCUGUUCAGGGUCUAGGGGGCUCUGGGCUCCACGGGAAUGGCACUGUGCUGUUCUCUGCCAUCCGGCUUGGUAUAUUGGCCCUUGCCCACGGGGCAGGACCAGGGAGUCUCACCCACCCUCUCGGGCUGCCUGUUGGCCAGCAUGGGACCAGAUGCAAACAUCCCCUCCUCUCCCACACACUCUUUGAGGCUUCAGGCUCACAAAGCUCUGUCUUCUGCAGGAUCUCAUUUAAUCCUCACAACAGCCUGGGAGUAGAUCGUUAUUACCAUGGCUGUGCAGCUGCCAGAGCCACCUCGGAGAGUGGAAAGCACCUCCGUUUCGCCACCAGUAGACCUGAAUUCCAGCACUGGCCUAUUGUCUCUGAGCUGUGUGAUGGAAUCUUUGAGCCAACAGGUCCUCAUGAUCACAUGUGGCUGGCCCUCCCUAGCCCCCCACCUCCGGGCUGGCUUUGAGCCUUAGAGGUGUUUUAUCUUGUGUGAGGAAAAUGGAGCAUGGAGAUACCACCCAAAUGGCAGCCGCGAGAGGACUCUGCUCAAAGUGCUCUUCCUGGGGGGUCUCGCGGGCACAUAUGUGUGCCAUUUGCCCUGUAUUGUUCUAUAAUCCUUGAUGGUUGCUCUGUAAUUGCUCUCACAUGGUUUCUUCAUAAUAAAUAGCAUCUGCAGAGAAGUUCACGGUUUAC